rnacentral:rRNA from 1 species
AACGAACGCUGGCGGCAGGCUUAACACAUGCAAGUCGAGCGCCCCGCAAGGGGAGCGGCAGACGGGUGAGUAACGCGUGGGAACGUACCCUUUGCUACGGAAUAGCUCCGGGAAACUGGAAUUAAUACCGUAUGUGCCCUACGGGGGAAAGAAUUAUCGGCAAAGGAUCGGCCCGCGUUGGAUUAGCUAGUUGGUGGGGUAACGGCCUACCAAGGCGACGAUCCAUAGCUGGUCUGAGAGGAUGAUCAGCCACAUUGGGACUGAGACACGGCCCAAACUCCUACGGGAGGCGGCAGUGGGGAAGAUUGGAAAAUGGGCGCAAGCCUGAUCCAGCCAUGCCGCGUGAGUGAUGAAGGCCUUAGGGUUGUAAAGCUCUUUCACCGGAGAAGAUAAUGACGGUAUCCGGAGAAGAAGCCCCGGCUAACUUCGUGCCAGCCGCCGCAGUAAAAC